rnacentral:rRNA from 1 species
AGCGGAGGAAAAGAAACUAACAAGGAUUCCCCUAGUAACGGCGAGUGAAGCGGGAUGAGCUCAAGCUUAAAAUCUCUGUCACAAAUUUAUUUUGUGCGGCGAAUUGUAGUCUAUAGAGGCGUGAUCAGUGUAGGCGCUUGAGGUAAGUUCCUUGAAAAAGGACAGCAUGGAGGGUGAAACUCCCGUUCAUACUUAAGUGGCUUGCACGUACGAUUCGUUUUCUUUGAGUCGCGUUGUUUGAGAAUGCAGCGCAAAGUAGGUGGUAAAUUCCAUCUAAAGCUAAAUAUUGGUGCGAGACCGAUAGCGAACAAGUACCGUGAGGGAAAGAUGAAAAGAACUCUGAAAAGAGAGUUAAAGAGUACCUGAAACUGCUGAAAGGGAACCAAAUCGUUUCUAGUGUCUAUAAUCUAUGACAUAUUUCAUUGGGAAGUGUGUGCGUGUGUAUACUAUGGCAGCGGCUUUUUUUAGUUGCGCUUGGUGUGCGUGCUGUAUGUACUAACUGAUGCCCUGUGUUAUAGUGGGACGUCAAGGUCAGUUUGUAUACUGCGGGAAAUGGCUACUGAGGAGGUAGGGCUUACGCUUGCGUUUGUCUAUUAUAUCUUGGUAGUUGUGUCGUGGUUGAGACUGAGGUGUUCUACAACGUGCUUAUGAGUGGGUCUACGUCUCCGUGUGCGCCGUGUGCAGAUAGCUUGCUAUGUGUAUGUGGUGGUGUGUGGAUUGAUAUGGGCUUUAUCUUACUGCCGUUCGGGACUUUGACGAAAUAGAGCGAUUUGACCCGUCUUGAAACACGGACCAAGGAGUCUAACAUAUGUGCAAGUGUUAGGGUGUGGAAACCCCAGCGCGAAAUGAAAGUAAAGGAUAGUGUAAACUAUCUUAGGUAGGAAACGUUAUGAACUUCGGUUUGUGGCGUGGCACUAUCGACCGAUCAUGAACCCUCGUGGUGAAAGAUUUGAGUUUGAGCACAUAUGUUGGUACCCGAAAGAUGGUGAACUAUGCCUGAGUAGGGUGAAGC